UAAUACGAAGGGUGCAAGCGUUAAUCGGAAUUACUGGGCGUAAAGCGUGCGUAGGCGGUUGGCUAAGUCAGAUGUGAAAGCCCUGGGCUCAACCUGGGAAUGGCAUUUGAAACUGGCCGGCUAGAGUGUGAUAGAGGAUGGCGGAAUUCCCGGUGUAGCGGUGAAAUGCGUAGAGAUCGGGAGGAACAUCCGU
rnacentral:rRNA from 1 species